rnacentral:rRNA from 1 species
GGCCAUCGCUCAACGGAUAAAAGGUACUCCGGGGAUAACAGGCUGAUACCGCCCAAGAGUUCAUAUCGACGGCGGUGUUUGGCACCUCGAUGUCGGCUCAUCACAUCCUGGGGCUGAAGUAAGUCCCAAGGGUAUGGCUGUUCGCCAUUUAAAGUGGUACGCGAGCUGGGUUUAGAACGUCGUGAGACAGUUCGGUCCCUAUCUGCCGUGGGCGCUGGAGAACUGAGGGGGGCUGCUCCUAGUACGAGAGGACCGGAGUGGACGCAUCACUGGUGUUCGGGUUGUCAUGCCAAUGGCACUGCCCGGUAGCUAAAUGCGGAAGAGAUAAGUGCUGAAAGCAUCUAAGCACGAAACUUGCCCCGAGAUGAGUUCUCCCUGAGACUUAGAGUCUCCUGAAGGAACGUUGAAGACGACGACGUUGAUAGGCCGGGUGUGUAAGCGCAGCGAUGCGUUGAGCUAACCGGUACUAAUGAACCGUGAGGCUUAACCUUACAACGCCGAAG